CGUGCCCCGGGGGCGGGCGCGCGCGGCAUUCCGGGAGGCACGCCGACUCUUCAAACGCGGAACAGUUUGCCUCGAAUAACGUCGACAACGCUUACCUUCAGACGGCGGCUAGUUUGUGUCCGAAGUGCUGAAUCUCAUUGCGGGGCUGAGAGGAGAAGAGGAGGGAAGAAUACAUGUCGAGUCCAAGCUGCUCGACUAUGAACCGUUUUUGGUAAGCAUCUCUCUCCCUCUCUAUCUCUUUCUCUCUCCCUCUCUCGCUCUCUUUCUCCCCCUCUCUCUCUCUAUGUUCCAUCCUUGUCUCUCUCUCUCUUGGAAGUGAUGUGCUAAAGAACUAUUCAAUUUGAGUUAAUUGAAAGCAACAGGGCCAAAUUUGAAAAAGACGCUACAAAAAAAGAGUAGCUUUACGUCAGGGAUGUCCAAAGUGUGACCGGGGGGCCCAUUUGUGGCCCACGGCACAUUUAAAAAAUACUAUUUAAAAAAAAACAAAAAAAAACACAUAUAAAAUGGAAUUAAAGAGUAAAGAGGCGCAAUGUAAUGAAACUAUUGGAAUAUUGACACUGCAAGGUGUUGGUAUUCUUGUGUACAGGAGGUGGCGUGUAGGUAAGAUGAUUAUUUCAUCUUUAAUCAGAAUCAGAAAUACUUUAUUAAUCAAUUAAAGCAGUGGUUCUCAACCUUUUUUCAGUGAUGUACCCCCUGUGAACAUUUUUUUAAUUCAAGUACCCCCUAAUCAGAGCAAAGCAUUUUUGGUUGAAAAAAAGAGAUAAAGAAGUAAUAUACAGCACUAUGUCAUCAGUUUCUGAUUUAUUAAAUUGUAUAACAGAGCAAAAUAUUGCUCAUUUGUAGUGGUCUUUCUUGAACUAUUUGGAAAAAAAAAGAUAUAAAAAUAACUGAAAACUUGUUGAAAAAUAAACAAGUGAUUCAAUUAUAAAUAAAGAUUUCUACACAUAGAAGUAAUCAUCAACUUUAAGUGCCCUCUUUGGGGAUUGUAAUAGAGAUCCAUCUGGAUUCAUGAACUUAAUUCUCAACAUUUAUUUUGUUGAAGUAUUCAAUAAAUAUAUUUGUAAAGGAUUUUUGAAUUGUUGCUAUUUUUUUUAGAAUAUUUAAAAAAAAUCUCACGUACCCCUUUGCAUACCUUCAAGUACCCCCAGGGGUACGCGUACCCCCAUUUGAGAACCACUGGAUUAAAGGAUUAAUAAGGGUUCUAGCUCUAUAAAAGAAUACAAUUCUUUAAACAUUUAAAAAAAGCAUUUUAAGCUAAAUGUAUUGCGACGUUAUGCUUAGUACUUUUAACACACCCCUUAUGGUUGAGAAAUUCACAUUAGGUCUUGACCUCUGUAUGUAUGAUGAGAGUAUCGCAGAUCUUCAAGAUGCAACCUUUUAAUCAAAUUUGAAUAAUAUAAUAUUGAGACUGAUUUGGUGGAUUUAAAGAUUCCUUUUUUAUUUUUUUAUAAAUGAAAUUGUAAAUGGGUGUUUGGUGAGUAGAUUUUGAAAUGUAUUGUAUUGUAUUGUAUUUUGUAUAUUGUUGAUGAUGUAUAUUUUAACUGUGGGUUAAGCUGUGUGCUUCUAGGGAUAGCCUUUUUGCAGAAAGGACUCUGAUAUAAACAAAAGAAACAAUAAUGAAAUGCAAAACUAUGUUUGUAAAUAAAUAAAUACAAAUAAAUAUAGAGGGGAAAUUAAGAUUUUCAGGACAAUCCCAUUCAAGAGCAGACAAACAUUAAAGGGAGACAGAACAGGAUCGCUGGCGGGUCUGCCAACUUCCGGCGCCCCUUACAAAAAAAGGUGAGA